rnacentral:sRNA from 1 species
ACCCACCUGAGACUGCAAGCAUCAUGUUGAUGGCUAGGAUGGUGGCCACAGUGAAGCAGGCGAAGGACAAGGACCGUUGGAUCAGACUCUUUUCCCAGUUUUGUAACAAAACAGCCAAUGAAGAGGAGGAAAUUGUCCAUAAACUUCUGGGAGACAAAUUCAAGGGCCAACUGGAACUUCUGCGGAGACUCUUCACAGAGGCCCUCUAUGAGGAAGCAGUCAGCCAGUGGUUCACUCCAGAUGGAUUCCGGUCUCUCUUUGCUCUUGUUGGGACCAAUGGCCAAGGAAUUGGGACCAGGUUAGAAUGUUCCAGAGCUAUUGAAGUUACUCUCAGGGGUGGGAAACUGAGGAAGGUAGCC